GUGUUUUCAUUUCUCUUCAUCAGAACACAGCAGCACAUGUUGGAGUGUAGAAGAGUAAAUGCUCUUGAACAAUCAGACAGAGACUAUGGCUUGUGAAUCAAGGAUCUGUUUAUUUCUCUCUGAGAAGUUAAUAACAAUAACUUAGAUUUAAAUAGCGCCUUUCAUGAAACCUAAGGAUGCUUUACAAAGUGUGUGUGUGUGGGGGGGGGGGGGGGGGGGGGCGUAAUGGGAGACAACAAGAGAGGAAUAGAAAAACACAAACAGAGAAGAGAGAGGAUAGAAACACUAGACAAACAGAUGAAGGAGAAAGGGAGUGGGUGGUCAGCUGAGGGGAGUGUUAGAUGAGGCUGAAUGCUUUGCUGAUCAGAUGGUGUUUGAGGAGGUUUUUAAAAAUGACCAGGGGUCUCAUUUAUAAAAGAGUGUGUAAAAUUCAUACAUAAAAAUGUACAUGUGCCAAAAACCCUGAAAUGGCGUGCGCACAAAAUGAUUCAGAUUUAUAAAACCGUUCGUACGCACACCUGCACGCAAUGUUCCCUUUAUAGAUCAUGAUCCACCUGGAAAUAUGCGCACGUAGAUUGGUCCCAUGUUCCGCCCUCUACAUGCCCACAUUCAACCAUAAACGGUCAAUGCAAAGCAGCUCGUGAAUGAAAAUGCAUACAAACAAACGAGGGGGCAGAUCAAAGGUUUCCAGCGCUGGAUCGCGAAAACGGAAGUUUAGACGAAGAAACUAAACUUUCUGACCCAGAAACAAAGGAACUUGUGAAUGAAGUGAAGGAUAAAAUGGACAUAUCGGUAAUUUGCUGCAGCAGGAGGAUCACAAACUGAUGAAAAUUCAGAGAAUGACACCAUGUAGCUGCUGCAUUCACGCUGUCCUAUGUGCCAAAACAUCCACCGUUCAUCAUUACGCACGAGUAUAUCUGCAAUGUUUACAUGUUUACAGGACCCACACUGAUUUCUUCAUAUAGUGGCAGAGAGGACACGUCAGUCAGCAUUCUCCCUCACUAUAUCAUAUUAUUAAUCAAAGGUUUGAUCAACGAACAAAAACUUUUAAUUGUUGGCCACAUAUUUUCGUGGGCAUCUCCGUCUGCACUGUGACUAAUUAUGAUCAAAUAUAUGGCUUAAUGAUCGUGUCAGAGAUGCCCCGACUUAAUGUCCACACUUGAAUUAUCUACAGAAUAAAUACAUGCAGCUGAUGAAGAUGUGCUGAGUAUGGAGGAGGUGAAAUGUGUGAAGCCAUCGCCAUGUCUCUGUGCACUCUUUAUUAAAACUAAAAAUCACAAUUGAUGAUAAAUGCAAGAUAUUGAAAUAUAUUAAUGAAAACUGGAGGCUCUAUGGUCUUUGUGUUAGUCUAAUGUUUAACUCUACAUCAGUGAUUACAUAAGUGUAUAAGUCCGGUCCUCUGAGGUCCGUCCGCGAUAAUGAAGGCGAGACGGCGCUGAUACAAUAUGUAUGUGGAGGACUUUUAUUUUAUUUUUAUUUUUAUUUUUUAUAUAUUGUCAUAAUGAAAGUUACUUAUUGGAAACGGCUCACUACAUGCGUGAUUAUAGCCUAAAUAAAACCAUCGGUUUGAAUGAUUCUGAUGACGUGGAUCUGUCAGUAAAGUUUGAUAUUUAGUGAAAUAGGUUUGCUUUGUUGUUAAGGGAGCGAGCAUUCUGCAGCAUAAAUGAGGCGGUGGUGUAUUCUGAAGCAGAGGGGGAGAGAGGAGUGGUUCUGUCAACACACACAACAACAGGUAUCAGGUUUCUGGUGUGCUCGUGUGAUUUGUUGUGAUGAUGGUGCCGGUCAGACACUACAGUGGGGAUAGCAUGGUCAGUGUAAACAAACUUGCAUCGGGCAGCCCUAUGCACGUAGUGAGGACGGCGCAGGAGUCCGAAAGAUUUAAUGGAAGCAAGGUUGUCCGGAGAGAAGUGACAGGCGAGAUUCCGGAGUUGCAGAGCGGAGUAUGUUAGUAGUACCAUGUCCGCAGCAGGGAGAGCAGCUGCUAGCCGCAGGCUGAAAGCCGCAAGCUACCGGGCGCCAGCCGGGGUCAGGAAAACCGCAGGAAUGAGAGCCAAACCAGGAUAAGGAAAGGACCAGUUUUGUGGCAGACGGGGGACCCGUCUGGACACAAUCUGAGCAGGAGAGCAGCAGCCGGCAGUCUGGUUUUCAGGCAGGCCUCUUCGCCGCCAGCAGCCGAGCCAGAGUAGGGGGGAAGCGGCAGCCAACAGGUGGCGGGCCGCAGGGCGACGGGUCCAAGCCAGGUAAUGAGCCGACGUGGCCGACGAAGAAGGACGGUCCACCAAUAAGGCAGGCGAGGGUCCAGUGAUCACAGACUGGUGAGGAUAUCCUGAUAGCUGUGCGAGAAGCUAACAGCUGAUCGGCGGCUAGCGCUAACAGCUGAUCGUCAUAGAUGACGCCUGUGAGCUGGAACUGGACACAAACACAGUGAACAGAAAACUGAAA